GGGGAGUGCUCCUCCCUCAAUUCUCUUUUUCAUCAUGGAAGAGUAUCAAGAAGGGCAAAUGGAGGUCCACAGCGGGGAAAGGAGGAAGGGAUGUGUGCCUCAAAGAACCACAGUUACAAGAAAAAGCUAAGGACUUAAGGAAGAGAGAGUCUUCAAAAUAAGAUGAAGGAAACCAUCUUGUGGUAUCCAGUGUGGAAAAGUAUUCAUUGAAUCAGCUGACACAGCCUGUUGUGGAAUUUCAUCAGAAAAGUUAUGAAAAAGGCUAAACGUGAUCAAGAGAUGCAGAACUGGCAAUGCAUGUGAAAGUCAAAAUGAAGUAUUUGGGAAAACUCCGGGUUUUCACAACCUGAAAAAAUCUGAAUCCUUUGCUAAUUUGUUUUCUGAUUUUGUGAUAAAAGAACACACCAAAGAUUAUUAUUUAUUUUGACAGAACAUCCGU